rnacentral:lncRNA from 10 species
GGGAUGCUGGCUGCACAGAAAAAGUGUUGUUCACCACCAGGAGGAAGGAGGGAAACAAGAAGACCUGAGGAUCAGGUGGUACACCACUUCAGUGUUCAGGUGGCACAAACAAACACUAGAAGAAAAUAAUCAUCACCAGCCUGGGAAACAUGGCAAAAUCCAAUCUCUACAAAAAAUAACAACAACAAAAGAAAACCACACACACACAAAAGUAAAUUAGCCAGGCAUGGUGGCAUGCACCUGUAAUCCCAGCUGCUUGAGAGGCUGAGGUGGGAGGAUUCAUUGAACCCAGGAGAUUGAGGUUGCAGUGAGGUGUGAUUGCACCACUGUGCUCGAGCCUAGACAACAGAGUGGGACUUAGAGAGAGAGAGAGAGAGAGAGACAAAAGAAGAAAGAAAAGAAAAAGAAAAGGAAAGAAAGAAAGAAA